rnacentral:rRNA from 1 species
CAGUCGCCGCGGGAAUACGUAGGGUGCAAGCGUUAAUCGGAAUUACUGGGCGUAAAGCGUGCGCAGGCGGUUAUAUAAGACAGAUGUGAAAUCCCCGGGCUCAACCUGGGAACUGCAUUUGUGACUGUAUAGCUAGAGUACGGCAGAGGGGGAUGGAAUUCCGCGUGUAGCAGUGAAAUGCGUAGAUAUGCGGAGGAACACCGAUGGCGAAGGCAAUCCCCUGGGCCUGUACUGACGCUCAUGCACGAAAGCGUGGGGAGCAAACAGGAUUAGAUACCCCUGUAGUCCCUGUCUCUUACAC